rnacentral:lncRNA from 1 species
CGCUGUAUGACCUCUCGGUGAAUAGAUGGGACUUGAACUCUGCAGUGAGUAAAGGUGGUCGAGGUGACGCCCUGGACCCAGCACAGGAGAGUGAAGGUGGCAUCAAAGGAUAACCGAGAGCAAGUUCUCACCAUCUCAAGAGGCUGAGCUGGGACUCCAGAGAACUGCAGACUACUCCAGAGGAUGACCAGCUUACAAGCAGUAUUAUCUUGAGAUUCCACCACCCAGUGAAACAAAUAAACUGUUCUUGCUUCUCUUCCUCAGAAACUGCCACCCCUGGACUUUAUGCAUUGUUAUAAUUGUCCCAGUCACUAUCCUAGUUGAAUGAAAGUGUGGGGAAAAGCUUCUUUU